UGGGGAAUAUUGCACAAUGGGCGCAAGCCUGAUGCAGCCAUGCCGCGUGUGUGAAGAAGGCCUUCGGGUUGUAAAGCACUUUCAGCGGGGAGGAAGGCGGUGAGGUUAAUAACCUCACCGAUUGACGUUACCCGCAGAAGAAGCACCGGCUAACUCCGUGCCAGCAGCCGCGGUAAUACGGAGGGUGCAAGCGUUAAUCGGAAUUACUGGGCGUAAAGCGCACGCAGGCGGUCUGUCAAGUCGGAUGUGAAAUCCCCGGGCUCAACCUGGGAACUGCUUUCGAAACUGGCAGGCUAGAGUCUUGUAGAGGGGGGUAGAAUUCCAGGUGUAGCGGUGAAAUGCGUAGAGAUCUGGAGGAAUACCGGUGGCGAAGGCGGCCCCCUGGACAAAGACUGACUCUCAGGUGCGAAAGCGUGGGGAGCAAACAGG
rnacentral:rRNA from 1 species